rnacentral:misc_RNA from 1 species
UUCAAACCAUUCUGAAAUUUCAAUUAGGUUUCAAUUCCUAGGUAGAUCUUGAAUUGGAACUGCACACCUCUAAUCAACUUAGUGUAAAUUGUCAAGCCAAGUCCUAGAUUAAUAUUUUUAGUUCUGUCCUAGAUAAACAAUAUAGCAUGAACAAGUAGUCAUGUGGUCAAGUAUCUACCUCGUAGUACAAGAAGUUAAGGGUGCAAACCCGACACCCCUCCCUUCUAAAUAUUUCAGGUAUACCAACAUUGGUGUUUCAAUUACUGGGUAUGUAUUUCACACAGAAAUAAGUACAUUGUCAUCAGCAAGUUAAAAAGAGGAAGAACAAGAUAUGACAUCUAUGUUUAUUUUUUCCAUAAGUUAGAAAAUAUAAAGAAUGUCUCACUUGAUCAAUUGCUGGGUUGUUCAGAAGUCCUGCCUUUUUAGCAGUUCUUGCUCAUUUAGAUUUCUUUACUUAAGCAAUGUAAAGAAAUAUAAAUGAGGUCAUUUCAGGGAACAACACACCACUAAAAAUUAUGAGGUGACUUUUCUUUCUUACUCUUUUCUUCUUUUGGGACUUGUUAAGUUGUCAUCAUUAUUCUCGUCAAUGAUUCUCUUUUUGGAUUUUAAGUUGCCAUUCUUUGAUGCUUGUUGCUGCUUCUGAGAACUUUCAGGUUUACUGGGGGGUUUAGUGGAUUUAAUUGGAGUUCCCAUUCGUUGCAUCUUUUGCUUUCUCUGUUUCUUCUCAUAUGCCUUUUUGGCUCUCUCAGGGGAUAGCAAGCCAUGUUCCAUCAUCCAAAAUUCUGCCAUCUCACUAGUUGGUAUCUGUUUGGACAAUGACUCGUAGAAUAUCCUAAGGGGUUCUCGCUCUUCUGGAGGAUCAUAUUUCUGGCCAGGCAAGGAGUAUACCUUCUUCUCUCUCACUCUAGUUUUUGUGGUGGUGAUCUUUGAUGAACUGGAUGUUGUUUUUGAUUUUACCUCUGUUUUAGUGACAAUUGAUACAGAUUUAUGUUUAAGAUCAGCAGUAGGCUGUUUACUAGAGCUCUCAAUUUUCUUAUUCUUCAUAGAAGAAUCAAAAUUUUCCUUUGAAGAACCGUCUUGAUGACUGCUGGGCUUGACCUUGGCCACACCCCGCUUGGUCUCCGUGGCCAUGUCCCUCUGCUCCCCAAAUCUCCUUAUCAAUCAAUCAAUCAAAUUCUUUUGUUAUUGAUCUCAUCAAUCAGUCCUUUUAUUUUCUUCUUCCUCUUCUUCUUUGCUUGGAAGAAACUGGGAAGGUAAAC